rnacentral:rRNA from 1 species
AUGGGGUGACUGCGUACCUUUUGUAUAAUGGGUCAGCGACUUAUAUUCUGUAGCAAGGUUAACCGUAUAGGGGAGCCGUAGGGAAACCGAGUCUUAACUGGGCGAAUGAGUUGCAGGGUAUAGACCCGAAACCCGGUGAUCUAUCCAUGGGCAGGUUGAAGGUUGGGUAACACUAACUGGAGGACCGAACCGACUAAUGUUGAAAAAUUAGCGGAUGACUUGUGGAUGGGGGUGAAAGGCCAAUCAAACCGGGAGAUAGCUGGUUCUCCCCGAAAGCUAUUUAGGUAGCGCCUCGUGAACUCAUCUUCGGGGGUAGAGCACUGUUUCGACUAGGGGGUCAUCCCGACUUACCAACUCGAUGCAAACUGCGAAUACCGAAGAAUGUUAUCACGGGAGACACACGGCGGGUGCUAACGUCCGUCGUGAAGAGGGAAACAACCCAGACCGCCAGCUAAGGUCCCAAAGUCAUGGUUAAGUGGGAAACGAAGUGGGAAGGCUCAGACAGCCAGGAUGUUGGCUUAGAAGCAGCCAUCAUUUAAAGAAAGCGUAAUAGCUCACUGGUCGAGUCGGCCCGCGCGGAAGAUGUAACGGGGCUAAACCAUGCACCGAAGCUGCGGCAGCGACAC